rnacentral:rRNA from 1 species
AGGAUAAACGCUGGCGGCGUGCAUGAGACAUGCAAGUCGAACGGACGAUCAGGGCUUGCUCUGAUCGUUAGUGGCGGACGGCUGAGUAACGCGUAGGUGACCUGCCCCGAAGUGGGGAAUAACUGCCCGAAAGGGUGGCUAAUACCGCAUGUGGUGGUGUGUUCGAUCACACCAGUAAAGCCGCAAGGCGCUUCGGGAGGGGCCUGCGUCCGAUUAGCUCGUUGGUGGGGUAACGGCUCACCAAGGCGACGAUCGGUAGGUGGUCUGAGAGGACGAUCACCCAGACUGGGACUGAGACACGGCCCAGACUCCUACGGGAGGCAGCAGUCGGGAAUUUUGCGCAAUGGACGAAAGUCUGACGCAGCAACGCCGCGUGAGGGAUGAAGGCCUUCGGGUUGUAACCUCUUUUAUCAGGGAAGAUAAUGACGGUACCUGAUGAAUAAGUCACGGCUAACUACGUGCCAGCAGCCGC